GCCAGGCACAGUGGCGUAUGCCUGUAAUCCUAGCACUUUAGGAGGCAGAGGUGGGCGGAUCGCCUGAGGUCAGGAGUUCAAGACCAGCCUGGCCAAUAUGGUGAAACCCCAUCUCUA
ensembl:misc_RNA Metazoa_SRP Metazoan signal recognition particle RNA